rnacentral:RNase_P_RNA from 1 species
GAGGUCAGUUGGAUGGUUGCUCCGAUGCGUCGGAGAGGAAAGUCCGAACUCCACAGGAUAAAGUGCCUCCUAACAGGAGGGUCCUCAGUUGAGGAAACAGAAAGUGCAACAGAAAGCAAACCGCCUCGUUUACGAGGUAAGGGUGAAAUGGUGGUGUAAGAGACCACCGGUUCUGGUGGUAACAUCGGAAGCCGGGUAAACCUCACUUGGAGCAAGAUCAAACAAUCCCAACAACCAUUGGUUGCGAAGUGAUCCGCUUCGUUGCUUGCAGGAGGGAUGGGUAGAUUGCAAGAUUCGGAUUGUGAAAUUCGAACUAGAUGAAUAACCAUCGGUUCCGCUGUUGCGGAAGAUACAGAAUUCGGCUUAUAGACUGAUCUCAAAA